rfam:Nitrospira sp. ST-bin4 5123, whole genome shotgun sequence.
AUACUGUUGGGGACAGAUAUAAUGGAUGUGUGUUUCGACGCCUCCCGCCGUCACAAUGCAGCCUUCUCCGGAUAUCGCCUCUGUCCCGGGCCCCACUUCCAUUCCUUUGGUGACAUUCGGCAUGAGGUCGGAAUUCCCGGCCUUACCGAUGCCGGCGAUACGGCCGUUCUUAAUUCCGAUAUCCGCCUUGACGACACCCCAGUAGUCGAGAAUCACCGCGUUGGUAAUCACCGUAUCAAGCGCGCCGCUGGCGCUGGUGGCGCUUGGAGACUGACCCAUUCCAUCCCGUAU